rnacentral:rRNA from 1 species
UACGGGGGGGGUAAGCGUUGUUCGGAAUUACUGGGCGUAAAGGGCUCGUAGGCGGCCAACUAAGUCAUACGUGAAAUCCCUCAGCUUAACUGGGGAACUGCGUGUGAUACUGGAUGGCUUGGAUUUGGGAGAGGGAUGCGGAAUUCCUGGUGUAGCGGUGAAAUGCGCAGAUAUCAGGAGGAACACCGGUGGCGAAGGCGGGUCUCUGGGCCUAUACUGACGCUGAGGAGCGAAAGCGUGGGGAGCGAACAGG